GACGAACGCUGGCGGCGUGCUUAACACAUGCAAGUCGAACGAAGAGCGAUGGAAGCUUGCUUCUAUCAAUCUUAGUGGCGAACGGGUGAGUAACGCGUAAUCAACCUGCCCUUCAGAGGGGGACAACAGUUGGAAACGACUGCUAAUACCGCAUACGAUCUAAUCUCGGCAUCGAGGAUAGAUGAAAGGUGGCCUCUACAUGUAAGCUAUCACUGAAGGAGGGGAUUGCGUCUGAUUAGCUAGUUGGUGGGGGAACGGCCCACCAAGGCGAUGAUCAGUAGCCGGUCUGAGAGGAUGAACGGCCACAUUGGGACUGAGACACGGCCCAGACUCCUACGGGAGGCAGCAGUGGGGAAUCUUCCGCAAUGGACGAAAGUCUGACGGAGCAACGCCGCGUGAGUGAUGACGGCCUUCGGGUUGUAAAGCUCUGUUAAUCGGGACGAAAGGCCUUCUUGCGAAUAGUGAGAAGGAUUGACGGUACCGGAAUAGAAAGCCACGGCUAACUACGUG
rnacentral:rRNA from 1 species